rnacentral:lncRNA from 1 species
AAAGUCACAGAUCUGGUUGAGAGCUUCUGGAUUAGUAGGAGGAGUCCACAAGUCUAUUAUUUACUAUGCACACAAACAUUUACCUAAUUUUUCUUUCAAUAAGAAACCUUAUCCGUUGCGCUGGUGCCUGAUUUUCUGACUGCAAAGUCUCUUCAAAGUCUCCUUUGCAAUUUCUCUGAAGUCUAAACCUCCCUUUGUCUUUUCAUGGAUGAGAGAAUAACAGUGGCUAUAUGAAACGGAGCGGCGAUCUCAAAUACUCGCCAUACUCUGUUUUUCAGCUCCACUUGUUCCAGCAAGCACUUCUGAGGAGUUCAAUCUGGUGUGUCAUGACUAGAACUGGACCAGCAGUUAGACAGACAUCAAAGCGAGUUGGCCAAGACUGAGAAGCAAGUCGUACUCAGGAAGCUGCCCCCCAGGGUGACUUUGCAGGCUUUGCCUUUCCGACCUCUACAGCAGGUGGCUCGGUUCUGUGCAGCACCAGCUCCUCUCACCCUCCUGAAAAAAGAAGAGAGAAGUAGCUUUUGCACUAUUGUCUGGCAUCAUCUACCUGGAACCAACAGGGUCCACAUUCAGACCACGAAGAAGAGAGACCUCCAGGGGAAAACAAUGAAACACAAUUUUUUAAUGAAAAUAAACAUUAAAUGACAAGUGUACCACAUGUAAGAUGACCAUUUUCUAUCUUCUUAACUACAUUGCAAAAGAUGCUGGCGAUUCAUGUGAUCUUAACAGGUAUUCUACAGUUCAGUAUUGUAGGAAGU